rnacentral:rRNA from 1 species
AGAGCGAACGCUGGCGGCAGGCUUAACACAUGCAAGUCGAGCGGGCGUAGCAAUACGUCAGCGGCAGACGGGUGAGUAACGCGUGGGAACGUACCUUUUGGUUCGGAACAACACAGGGAAACUUGUGCUAAUACCGGAUAAGCCCUUACGGGGAAAGAUUUAUCGCCAAAAGAUCGGCCCGCGUCUGAUUAGCUAGUUGGUGAGGUAACGGCUCACCAAGGCGACGAUCAGUAGCUGGUCUGAGAGGAUGAUCAGCCACAUUGGGACUGAGACACGGCCCAAACUCCUACGGGAGGCAGCAGUGGGAAUAUUGGACAAUGGGCGCAAGCCUGAUCCAGCCAUGCCGCGUGAGCGAUGAAGGCCCUAGGGUUGUAAAGCUCUUUUGUGCGGGAAGAUAAUGACGGUACCGCAAGAAUAAGCCCGGCUAACUCGCGCCAGCAGCCGC